rnacentral:rRNA from 1 species
CCUACGGGAGGCAGCAGUGGGGAAUCUUGCGCAAUGGGCGAAAGCCUGACGUAGCAACGCCGCGUGAGGGACGAAGGUUUUCUGAAUUGUAAACCUCUUUCAGCAGGGAAGAUAAUGACGGUACCUGCAGAAGAAGCACCGGCUAACUACGUGCCAGCAGCCGCGGUGAUACGUAGGGUGCAAGCGUUGUCCGGAUUUAUUGGGCGUAAAGAGCUCGUAGGCGGUUUGGUAAGUCGGUUGUGAAAUCCCCAGGCUCAACCUGGGGCCUGCAUUCGAUACUGCCAUGACUAGAGUUUGGUAGGGGACCACGGAAUUCCUGGUGUAGCGGUGGAAUGCGCAGAUAUCAGGAGGAACACCAGUAGCGAAGGCGGUGGUCUGGGCCAAUACUGACGCUGAGGAGCGAAAGCGUGGGGAGCAAACAGGAUUAGAUACCCUGGUAGUCCACGCCGUAAACGGUGGGCACUAGGUGUGGGGACUAUUCAACGGUUUCCGCGCCGACGCUAACGCAUUAAGUGCCCCGCCUGGGGAGUACGGCCGCAAGGCUAAAACUCAAAGGAAUUGACGG